rnacentral:lncRNA from 1 species
UUUGCUUAAAGCAUUGGAAUAUCUCCAAUUCAUAGGGUAUUCAGGCACUACAUUCUUCCUCUACAUAACUCCAUCACAAUACUUCCCUUUUCUACAAAGAAGCUGCCACACAAGUUGCUAAAUGUUAAUCCCGUAGCGGUUCAAUUCCAACGAGCCUUUCGAACUAGUACUAUUAGUAAUCGAGUCUAUAGUUACUACCUUACGAAAUUCAGUUUAUACAAAAAGUAAAACCAGCUUAAUCCAAGAGGAUAGCUUAUUCUAUUCUGCCUCGUUUUCAUUUCUUUUUCGUUUCUCCCCCCUCACUCCUGUACUCAGUGCUCUCAAAGCAUCUAAAACAUCCUUCAUCAUUGGCCUUUCUUCUGGUUCCAGAUUCAUGCAGAGGAAUACCAGACGUGUGAUAUCAAAUGCAGUUGGAUGAUCAACUUCUUUGAAGCAUUCAUUAACCAAAUAUUUUUCACUAAGUGAAGCCUCCUUUAAAACUGAAUUUUUCACAAUCACAGGAUUCUCGCGAAAAUUAAAUUUCUUUUUGCUUAUUAGCUCCAGAAGUAGAAGACCAAAUAUAUAAACAUCAGACUUCAUCGUCCGCUCACCUGUAUCGAUCCAGAAAAUAUAAGAACAGAACUGCACUUAGUAAUGAAAAGCAGAUAAAUAAUGUAAACAAUAGUAUACACAUAAUAUAAACAUCAAAUAUGAUGAAGAUUCUCCACAGGGGGGAAGCUAAGAGUCAUAAUUCCUAAUUCAGACUUCUUUUUACUAGCUCUUUUUCUGUUUCAGCAAAAAACAUAAAAACAUAUGAGGGUCAUGGCAGAGUCAGCUGCCGAGCUGAGGAGUUAAUGCCAGGGGCGGAGCUAAAAGCCCGAGUAUUGGUUCGCCGAACCCAGUAUCUUUUGCUCAAAAAAUGUAUUUGUGUUAAAAAAAAUCAUUAAAUAUGUACAAAUAUGAAAUUUAAACCCCAGUUAUCAGUACUUAAAGUCGUCGUUCCAAAAUCCAAACCCCAUAAAAUUGAAUUCGGUUAAUGCACACUAAUGAACAAUGCAUAGAAACAAGGCAUCACAAGACGUCUUCAGUAUAGGAUAUCUAGAUAACAAACAACAAACAACAUCAACUUGUUUGGAAUCUUUUCCUGCACACUUUUGGGAUAAAAGUGGGUGAUGUCAGCAACCACAAAAGAGCUACUAAGUAGCUGGAUGUGCUGUAACGGGAACAAAGAGUUGAAGGAAAUCUGGAGGACCAUUCUAGCAUGUGUUUUACGGCCUAUUUGGAAGGAGAGGAAUCACAGAUGUUUCAAAGGAAAGGCAUCAUCAAAUACAUGUUUCAAAACAGAGAAGUUUAUUUUAGUUUAGAAUUCUGGUAUAACUUGAUUGAUGCAUACAGUGUGGAAAAGAUGAUAGAAUCUACUAGUAGCUUACAGAAGAUCGAGUCAUUGUACUCUAAAGAAUUUAAGUUACGUACACUGACACCAUGAAGGAUUUUUUACACGAUCAGUGAAUUUCAACCUGUGAUAGCAGGUUAAUUACCAUUUUUACCAGAUUACUAAUUAGUGCUUAUCAAGAGAUUUUUCUGUAAUUACCUAAUAAUUGAUUUGAUUGCGUAAAUAUAUUUUACACUGCAGUGCAUGGAACAUACCAUUUCUAUCACAGUUUCAUAACUAACCGUAGGCUCCAACACAUAUUCCAGUUAGAGUUUGUUUUGUCCAACAACUAAACCUAAUUUGCUUAUUACUUGGGUACUAAGGAGAAUAGAACAAGAAAAAAUGCAAAGAAAAAGAAAAAAGUGGCCGGGUUUAAUUGAUGAAACCGACCUCAAAUAAAAAGCGUUGCAUCAUGAAAAAACAUGGACAACUACAAGAAAAUCUUUAAUCUAAAGCAUGAAAACAUCAGAGAUGAUGAGGUCUGAGUAAACAUGCCUGCUACAACCUCUGGAGCUUCCCUGCCAACACGAGCUUUAACAGGAAUUUUACAAUCUUCGCUCACAUGAUUUGAAAAGUGACCAAAGUCAAAUACUUUUAUAUUUACUUCCUGCAAGCCAAAACAAUUUCCAGGUUCCAACAAGCCAGUAAGGUAAUGAUGUGUUAACAUCUUCAAGUAUCUAAGAGAAAUAAAAAGUCGAGAAGACGGCCAAGGGUUCAAACUCAACCUCAUCUAUCAUAAUGCAUGAAGCAGUAACACUGCCAACUGCAACACUCUUUUCAUGCAACCAUGCCAAGAGAUCUGCAAGUUGAGUUGCCACUUUUAUCCGGUCAUCCCACCCAAAGUCAUCUGCGAACGAGGAAAAAAAAACAUAAAGGAUGUGCUAAAACCACACAAAUUUCGCACUGAACAGUCAUUCAACAUAAUAGUCAAGGUAAUAAAUACCAGCCAGAAGCACAUCAGACAAGACUCUGGUGAAUUUUUCAUCAUAGACAGCUGCAAGCCUCGUCUCAUAACAGUACCUAUACAACUUCGACAAAUUUGGAUGCGUAUUUACUCUUUCAUCUGUGAAUAACUCGAUCUCGUCCUACAAAAGAAACCUUGACAUCAUUUUACCCAAAAUAAUAGACAAGAAAUCAAAUUCAGACCAAUCUUGCAAACAUACACAAAAUUUAUGUAGACGUUGAGUAUGCUCGUCUCCCAAAGGAAGGAGAAAAUCCCAUGUCUUUACAAUCGCCGGUCGCUUUUCAGAUCCUUCACCAAUGGUGCCACAAAACAAUCUUCCUGAAAGAGUCUUCUGAAUCAAGCUCUCAGGCUUGAAAUCAGUAAUGUUUUGCAACUCGGAGUAGGUGCAAAGCUUCACCUCACCAACUAUCAUUGGCUCAAUUGAGAACUUGAAGCUGCAUAUUGGCAAACAUACAAGAACAUUCGGAGAAGAAAUAAUAACAUUGUGGAUGUCAAUCAAGUUCAAAAACCAUUUUGAAAAACUGAUUCAAAUGCAAAGAUGUUGUUAUAAGUUCAUACAUCAACAAUAGUGACUAGUUCUUUUUCCUUUUUUGAUAACCAAGAUAUUCCCGAGAGCCGGUGGCGCACGGUUCAAAACUCAACGAAUAAUGGGUGUGCCCCUCUACCUUUCUACACUUAUAUACCAGUACGCUUCGCAACCUUGACGCUCGCCAAACCUGCACAUCACCUGCUGCGCUAUUACCACCAGAACCAAAGUCCUGGUGCUAUCAGUGACUAGUUUUUUAUACUAAACUAUUUAAUACUUAUAUUCAUUGAUAAAGGUUUUCCUUAGCAAUUUAAUAUAUCAUUUUGCAAAUGAUAAUUGCUUGCGAGUCAAAGCAAGAGGGCAAUACAAAAUUGGCAGAUUCACUGCAGCUAAUUUCGGGUGUUAAUUAAGCUCACCUCAAACAAAACUAUAACAACUAUUUAUUAUAUUGGCAGAACCUAACUCUCUCUGAUGAAAAAAAUAAAAUAAAAUAAACCCUAGACAAAAAUUGACAUAAGCACAACACAACCCUAUACUAUUCCUUUAGAAAGAGAGAUAAUGAAAAAACCUUUGGUAAUAGUUGCAUCUUUCAUAGAAAAAGGCUAGCAUUCCGUUAGCGAUGCUGUCGAUGAACAUAGGGUGGCGCCAAUUGGGAGAUUCCUCCUUGUUAAAAAUUUGAAAGUAAUAAGGUGAAAAGUCCCAUUCCUCCAACUUCUUUCGGAUCAUCUCAAACCCCCCACGCUUCUCCUCCUCGUCUCUAAUCUGAACGUCUGUCAUUUUUUUUCUAGGGCACACAACACAAAAGGGGAGAAUGAGGGUUUUGGUGCUGAGCGCUUGAAAUAGAAGGGAAUUUUCUACCCGGCCCGAAUCCGGAUAAUUGAGUACGGAAAACCGAAGGAUUGUAUACAAGGAAAAAAAGAAAGAAGAAUUUUUCCUCUUUUCUCCCGUUCAUUCCGUUCCAAUUCAUGUGAAUAUGUUUGAUUUGACACGUAAUUUAUUAAAAAAAAAAUUAAAAUUUACAGUUCUAAACAAUUAGAAAAUGGGUCCAAAGUAUUUAUAUGGUUAUAAAAACUUUUUAUUAAUGGUAAAAUUAUAAGUUUAAGCAAAAUUAUUUCCAAAUUUAGAAAGGGGGUCAUUCUUUUUGGAACAGACCAAAAAAGAAAUAGGUUCACAUAAAUUGGAACGGAGUUAGUAUUACUUUUCUUUUGGAUAAUAUAGCACUUUUGGUGCAUUAAUUAUUAGUGUUAUUUGUACAUUAUACCCCUUUACAAUUUUAAAAUUAAGAAAAUAAUCUUUUUAGAUUUCUUAUGUGUGAAAACACAUCUCUUAGUAAAAGUAAAUCUCAUACGUAUAAAAAAGAGAGGCAAGGUUAUAAAAUAAAAAAUAAAUUUGUAAAGAACCACAAAACUACCCAUUUGUGCUAUAAUAAUAGUAAAUUCUGAUUUUGGUUUUUAUGAUAUAUGACUAAAUAUAUUUAAUUAAUUAAAUUGUGUAUUUGUUAUCCUUUUAUGUAAGAAAUAUUUAGCUUUUUUUAGAACUAUAUUAUCCUAAAAUAGAGAGUAACAUUAAAAACUUAACAUAACACAUGCAUAAUUAAAUCGAGUUAUAAUUAAUUAAUCGAUAAACUAGCUUUCCUUAAAGGUCAAAUGAAUUGGAUUGAGAUUUAUGAAAGAGUAGAUAAUUUAUUCUCUUAUGUCCAAUAACUUAUGCUAGUGGGAGGGAGCAGUACCCGUUUAAUUAGUCGAAUACGCACAGUGUGGAAACAAAAUAAUUUUGUAAAUUCUUGAAAAUUCAAAAGUCGAGGGAUGAGAAGUAAAAAUUCCAUUGAAUGUUGAAUUUGCUUAGUUCAAUAUCAUCGGGCGGAGCUAGAGUGCCCCGAUCGGAUCACACUAAAUCCGGUAACUUUGGUUCGAACCAUGUAUAUGCAGUGGUGGAACCAAAAUUUACGUUAAGAGUUGUCAAAAUAUAUAAAAGUAAACAUAUAAUAAAAUUAAGUGGAGUCAAUACAUAAUAUAUAUAUAUAUAUAUACAUAUAAUUUUUUUACCUACCUACACAAUUUAUUUUUCUCGCGCAAGGGGUGUGAUUUGACAUAACUUUUUAUAAGGUGGCUCCGCCACUGCUUAUAUGUCUUAAACAAUUAUUUAAAUAUGUAUUAAUUAUUAACGUAGGUCGGGAUUGUGAAUUACAAAUGUCACAAUUGUAUGCCGUUAAUAUGAAUUCAAAUUCUCAAGGCUCAGCUAUACCAAGCACCAAAACCUCUCUUUUUUCCCCCAUUUGGUUCGUUCUCCUUUGUGUGUGUGUGCCCUAGAAAAAACUAAUGACUGACGUUCAGAUGAGAGACGAGGAGGAGAAGAGCGGAGGGUUUGAGAUGAUCCGAAAGAAGUUGGAGGAAUGGGACAUUUUGCCUUACCAGUACCAAAUUUUCAACAAGGAAGAGUCUCCCAACUGGCGCCACCCUUUGUUCACCGAUCGUACCGCUAACGGAAUGCUAGCCUUUUUCUACGAGCAAUGCAACUACUAUCAAAGGUAUUUUCAUUAUCUCUCUUGCUAUUCCUCCUUCAUUACACACACGCACAUCCCCUAUUUUUGUUAGCAAAGUGAGAUAUUAUUAAAUUGCUAAGCUAUCGUUGUUGGCAAAAUGGUAACUAGUAAAGUUGUCUCCAUGUGACCAGGAGUGCACGAGUUCGAGCCAUGUAAACAGCCUCUUGAGGUUGCGUACAAUGUGGUCCAACUUUUCCGCGGAACCCGCGCAUAACAGGAACUUAGUGCAUCGGACUGCCCCGUUGUCCAUGACUCAUAGAUCAUGAGGUGUCUAAGUUCAAAUCCCAGCGGAGGCAAAACACUAGUUGAUUUCUCCCCAUUUGUCCAAGUUUUGGUGGUCAAAGUUAGUUGGUACCCCGUAGAAUUAGUCCCUAGCCCGAAUACCACGGUUAUAAAGAAAAGAAAUGGUUAUCAAUGAAUAUGUUAAUGAUUAGGAAUAUAAAGAUUAAAAUAGUGUUAGUAGUAUAAGAAAACUAGUCACUAAUAGCCCCUAGGGCUUUGGUACUAGUGGUUAGAGCGACACCACGUGAUGUUUUUGGUUAGGCCCAUGUCAUGGGGUUCGAACCCCGCCGUGGACAAAAGCAUGGUACUUAAGUGGAGAAUCCACCGAGUUUCGAACUGUGGGCCUCUGGCGUUGGGGGAUUUCUAGGUUAUCAAAAUAAAAUAAAAAAACUAAUCACUAACAUUGAAUUAGGAAAUUAUAACAACAUUUUUGCAUCUGAAUCAGAUUUAUUAAAUGGUCUUUGAACUUGAUUGACAUGACUUUUAUUUCAUUAAGUUAUACUUUUAUUAAUUCCUCUGCCAAUAUUAUUAUCGUUUGUAUUUAGAGUUAUUUUUCUUGCAUCAUAUAUUUUCUCACUAUAGCAUUAAAGUGCAUUUGCUUCAAGCCCCUAAGACCUUGAUACCUUUUUUAUUAAAAUUAAAUUCUACCUGCUCUGAAUUUGUCGAUGUCCCAUUUCACUUGACCAGUUAAGAAGCUAGACAUCCACAAUCUUAUUCUUUCUGCUCUGAGUGAUCUUCUCUGGUUGCCGAAAUGCAGCUUCAAGUUCUCACUUGAGCCCAUGAUAGUUGAUGAGGUGAAGCUUUGCAGCUACUCUGAGUUGCAAGACAUUACUGAUUUCAAGGCUGAGAGCUUGAUUCAGAAGACUCUUUCAGGAAGAUUGUUUCGUGGCACCAUUGGUGAAGGAUCUGAAAAACGACCGGCGAUUGUAAAGACAUGGGAUUUUCUCCUUCCUUGGGGGGAUGAGCAUGCCCAACGCCUACAUAAAUUUUGUGUAUGUUUGCCAGAUACGUCUGAAUUUGAUUUCCUGUCUAUUAUUUUGAGUUAAAUGAUGUCAAGAGUUCUUUUUGUAGGACGAGAUCGAGUUAUUCACAGAUGAAAGAGCAAAUACGCAUCCAAAUUUGUUGAAGUUGUAUAGGUACUGUUAUGAGAUGAGGCUUGCAGCUGUCUAUGAUGAAAAAUUCACGAGAGUCUUGUCUGAUGUGCUUCUGGCUGGUAUUUAUUACCUCGACUAUUAUGUUGAAUGACUGUUCAGUCCGAAUUUUCUGUGUUUUUUUAUGAUUUCUUUUUCUCGUUCGCAGAUGACUUUGGAUGGGAUGACCGGAUAAAAGUGGCAACUCAACUUGCCGAUCUCUUGGCAUGGUUGCAUGAAAAGAUAGUUGCUGUUGGCAGUGUUAUUGCUUCAUGCAUUAUGAUAGAUGAGGUUGAGUUUGAACCCUUGGUCGUCUUCUCGCACUUUUUAUUUCUCUUAGAUAUUUGAAGAUUCUAACACGUCAUUACCUUACUGGCUUGCUGGAACCUGGACAUUGUUUUGGCUUGCAGGAAGUAAAUAUAAAAGUAUUCGACUUUGGUCACUUUUCAAAUCAUGUGAG